CUCCUUUGACGUUAGCGGCGGACGGGUGAGUAACACGUGGGUAACCUACCUAUAAGACUGGGAUAAUUUCGGGAAACCGGAGCUAAUACCGGAUAAUAUUUCGAACCGCAUGGUUCGAUAGUGAAAGGUGGUUUUGCUAUCACUUAUAGAUGGACCCGCGCCGUAUUAGCUAGUUGGUAAGGUAACGGCUUACCAAGGCGACGAUACGUAGCCGACCUGAGAGGGUUAUCGGCCACACUGGAACUGAGACACGGUCCAGACUCCUACGGGAGGCAGCAGCA
rnacentral:rRNA from 1 species